UUAACAUUUAAACCUUAAACUAGCAGCGCACGUCACUUUCUGAGUGAAGUGCGCGACGUGCGCGUGCCCGUCAUUUUGUAACGGUCAACUUCCAGCAGACGGACACGGAGGAAAGGUAAGUCCUAUAAAUCUACUUUUAUUCAUAGAUUUUAACUGAUAUAACGUUAAAUGCCAUCAAAGAGGAGUAGUGUUUUGUAUUUUUGUAGGUUUUCUCUUUCAAUUUAAUAAAUAAAUGCUCUGUUUGGUUAAUUAGCUCAAAAGCAGUCUCAGAGGUGGUCUAAGGUAACGGUAACUGUUAAAAUCGAAUAUAACCUUACCUGUUUUAAAUUAUUUGAAAUUUAUCACUAUAAACUAUACAGUAUUAACUUUCUAAUAAUUAAAUUUUUAACCGUAGUAACGUUAAUUAGUUAGUUUGAAUACCUGCUGCUCGAGCUUGAUGAUGCUCAUGCUAGCCAUGCUGUGAACUUGAAUAUAAACCGAUAUAACGUUAAAUAUAAAGUUUAACGUUAAUUAGACCGAGGCUGCCGAAAUCAUGUUCAGUGUAACGUUAUGUGGGAUUAAUAAUUUCCCCUUUUCUCCCUCAAGUGGCAGGCUUGUAAAUUCUGUCAUCUGUUCAUUAUUGGUGUUGAUGGUGUUUUUCACAUGCAUGCUUUUUAAUGCUAGUUUAAUUCUCAAAUUGAUCUGAUACUUUCGUUUCACAAAAAGUAAACAAAUUGUUCACUUUCUUAGGGCCUGACAACCACCAGUUGAGUCCAUGAUUCAGGGAAGAGACAGUCUGGGCAGCAGCAACAAGACAACUAUUACAAGUAGAGAUGGGUUUCAAGAACUGACACAACCACAUAUCCUCCAAAUCAUCUCUGCGUGGAUGGCAGCAAGGAUCCAGGAUCAAGAGAUCAUUCUUCAUGGAGACUGUUCCACAGGAAGCAGUUUCUCCUGGGUCAUCCUGACCAUUCUGCUGUCCUGGAUGUAAGGCCGUGCUGGAACUACAUUUCUCGUGGUUGAAAGAUUUGUGCAGCGGUAUCCAGACAUAUAACGCCCCAUCACACGGGGCGUCAACGCCUCUCGUUUACUUUUAAAUGAAGUGACGUCAAGCAUGGUGAAAUUAAUUCUAGAAAUUAAUUCUAAAUAGAAGUUGAAGACUUCUCAAGCGCCAAUGCAGCCGUCCUCCAGUCAGAACAUCUUAUGCAAAUACCCAAGCGCAGACGCAAGCCAAUCGAGUGCAUGCAAUACCAGAAAACUAAUGUGAUUGGCUGUCACUAUGAGAAGAGACAAUUUGAGGGAAAGAUUAAAAACAAGGAGGUCUGGGAAUGACUGAAGGGAUCUGACAGCAGUGAGGGAAGGAAGUAAUCACCAGAAUCUCAGAGAAGGAUGUUGACAGCAGGCCCAGGAUGAAGAAGAGGAGGAAGAACAUGUUUAACAAUUUUCUAUAAGCUUGCCAUGUGUUAUAAUAAAAACAAUGAACAUGACUACAAUAAUAUGCUAAAUGUUAUUAAAAGAUUACAGUUUGCAAGAAGUCUGAGUGUCUGACUCUACACUAGAGGAACUCUUUCCUGAAGAAGAUCAGGUGCUGAGAAGAAGCCUUGUUCUACAGCAAAACACUGCAUCAAGCCUCCUGUCCUUCCCUCAGAAGAGCCUGUCUUCUGCUGCUGGGGUAAGAAACACACUCUUCCUCUUCUCUAUCAGCUGUCCUGCACCUAACUCUGCCUCCUCAGCACUGUCUGAAAGAGUCAUCUCCACAGUCAGUAAUCACAGAUCACAGAUUCUUCUGAGAAAGUCGAUAUGCUCAUUUUCUUAAAAAACUUAGUUUUUUCGGGUGGGACAAAUAAUACAGGAGAGAUGCUAGAAAUCUCUAUAUUGUUCAUUUUUCAUAUCUUUACGCUUUAUGAAUGUUUUUCUUCUGAGAAGCUCAAAAAUUAUGGUUCUUUGGUAAUUGUUAUAUUGUUUAGUUUUAUCCUCUGAUAGUGAGUACAGAGCCCUGAUCAUGACAUGCAAGAAAAAGAAAGAAAUCAUGUCCAUGAUUUACUAAUUCGUUUCCUCUAUGUACUAAAUGUGCACGAUUACUUUUUGUUUCAUAUCUAUUUAUCAUGUAUUUUUUGUUGCACUAAAUUAUGUUGUAUCAAUAAGUUUACUGAUAAUUAUUUUUAAUUUUCACUAAUAACGUCAUUAACCAUCUCCCCAUCUUUAAGACAAAAAUUUUCUAUUGUUUAUAUUGUGUAAUCUAUGAAUUGAUGUGUUUAGUUUUCUGUGCUCAUAACUUAGUAACAUUUUGCAUGUUUAAAGAACAGGUGCGAUGUUCAAAAUGUUUUGGCUUAGUAUUUGUAGAAAGUAGUGCUGAAUAAAUAUUGAUUUCUGAAUGAAUGCAGUGUGUUUUUGUCUAUUUUAUAUUAGAAUGUAAUGUUUUUGUAUUUGUUUGCAUUGCAUGUAUGUAAUUAAUGUAUUAUCUAUGAAUCCCCUAUAAUUAGAUUACAAUUAGAUUUCAUAAGGUUUAUUUUUUGCACCAGAGAUGGAUUGAGUUUAUUAGUUCUUUAUGUAUUUCAAGGUAAUGGUGAGGUGAAAAUAUGAAUUACCAAUAUGAUCCUGUAAUGUCACGUCCUCAUAACGUGCCAGUUUGGUCGUCAGGACAUACU